rnacentral:rRNA from 1 species
CACGUAGGCACCAAGCGUUGUCCGGAUUUAUUGGGCGUAAAGAGCUCGUAGGCGGUUCGGUAAGUCGGGUGUGAAAACUUUGGGCUUAACCCAAAGCGUGCACUCGAUACUGCCAUGACUAGAGAUCGGUAGGGGAGUGGGGAAUUCCUAGUGUAGCGGUGAAAUGCGCAGAUAUUAGGAGGAACACCGGUGGCGAAGGCGCCACUCUGGGCCGAAACUGACGCUGAGGAGCGAAAGCGUGGGUAGCAAACAGG